rnacentral:tRNA from 1 species
GCGGAUGUAGUUCAAUUGGUAGAGCAUCAGCUUCCCAAGCUGAAAGUUGCGGGUUCGAGUCCCGUCAUCCGCUCCA